CUCCGUGCCAGCAGCCGCGGUAAUACGGAGGAUCCAAGCGUUAUCCGGAAUCAUUGGUUUAAAGGGUCCGUAGGUGGAUUAGUAAAGUCAGAGGUGAAAUACCUGCAGCUCAACUGUAGAACUGCCUUUGAUACUGCUAGUCUUUGAGUCAUUAUGAAGUGGUUAGAAUGUGUAGUGUAGCGGUGAAAUGCAUAGAUAUUACACAGAAUAACCGAUUGCGAAGGCAGAUCACUAAUAAUGUACUGACACUGAUGGACGAAAGCGUGGGGAGCGAACAGGAUUAGAUACCCUGGUAG
rnacentral:rRNA from 1 species